ensembl:processed_transcript BC006965 cDNA sequence BC006965
GGGGACCCGGGACGUCCGAGUGUAUUGGCUUUCCUGACACCCCAGACAUACCUGGAAAGAUGUUUCCAGAGUGGCUAGGUGCUAAGUGCCAUUUGACUGAGUGCACAGAUGGUUCCCAACUGAGCUGCAUGGGUCUGUGAAACGAUAGAAACUGAUGUGGUCAUCGGAGACAGUGGCACUCCACAGCCUUCCUCUGAGGACUGAGGACCUGAUGUUUCCUGUUUGUUUUGAGAGGAUUGCUCACUGACCUGGAAGGUGUUGCUGAGAACGGACAUCUUCUCAUCACUGCCUCCCCGGCUCUGGGAUUAAAAAGACGUGCACCCUACCUGUUUUAAUCUCCCAGGUUGCAGACGUAUGGCCACCGGUUCAUGUAGUCAACAGGUCAGGGGGGCUGUUGCCACCGAAGGAAGGGGGAUAGUGCUGACAAGACUGAUGGUAAUGAUGACAUCUAACGUACAUGGAGCAGCUCUAUCUGCCAGACACUAAGCUCACACUGCAAGUGCCUUCUCCCAGAAGACUUGAUACCGGGAUAUCCUGAGAGCCAAAUCAAAAGCUGCUUUCCACCAGGUGCUUAAGGGAGCACUGAAGAAGACCAAAGGAACUGUGACUCCCUAAGCUCAGGGAAUAGUCAAUAAAUCUCUUUGCUGGCCCGCUGGCAUAGGCUUGUAGUCUCAGCGACUUAUGAGUUGAGGCAGAAGGAUAAGUAGUUCAAGGCCAGCCUUGUCAACUUACCAAAACUGUCUCAAAUUUUUGAAAAAGAAAAGCAGAGUAGGGAAUAUCAGGCAAGGAUAGAAUGCUUACCCAGCAUGCACCAGGUCACCGAGUCAAUCCCUAGAACUGAAGAGAAAAGUGAUCUCCUCUUUAAAAGGAACUAUUUUCUGACUAUCCUGGAAAUGGAUGGUUCUAGAAGAGUUUCAUACUCAACCCUGAGACUUGUGGGAAAUCUCAGAUUUGGAGUCUUCGUAGCUAACCACUUCAGGUAUAGUGUCCCCAACUGGGAUGACAGAUAGGAACCUCACAGUGUCCCCAGUCUCAUGUUCCUUUUGCCUUAGGAAAUCCUUGGGGUCUAAAACUGCACCAAGUAUAAGAGAUAACUCCCCUUACCUCCUUGGAGAUGAGGAUUGGUACCAUUAUGUACAGACUUUAGGCAGGGUGCUCAAGUCCUCCCUUACCCAUCUCUUCUUGUCUAACCUAAGGGAUAAAGAGCUUGCUUUCAAAUGUUAUUAACACUGGGACAAUGGGCAAGAGAACACUAAUGUUUCGUGAUGCAUGAAAUAAAAAGAAAUUUACAUUU